GACGAACGCUGGCGGCGUGCCUAAUACAUGCAAGUCGAGCGGAUUUAUCCUUCGGGAUAAGUUAGCGGCGGACGGGUGAGUAACACGUAGGCAACCUGCCUAUAAGACCGGGAUAACUAUCGGAAACGAUAGCUAAGACCGGAAAACUGGUUUUCUCGCAUGAGAGAAUCAUGAAACACGGAGCAAUCUGUGGCUUAUAGAUGGGCCUGCGGCGCAUUAGCUAGUUGGUGAGGUAACGGCUCACCAAGGCGACGAUGCGUAGCCGACCUGAGAGGGUGAACGGCCACACUGGGACUGAGACACGGCCCAGACUCCUACGGGAGGCAGCAGUAGGGAAUCUUCCGCAAUGGACGCAAGUCUGACGGAGCAACGCCGCGUGAGUGAUGAAGGUUUUCGGAUCGUAAAGCUCUGUUGCCCUAGACGAACAGCAAGGCGAGUAACUGCGCUUUGUGUGACGGUAUAGGAGAAGAAAGCCCCGGCUAACUACGUGCCAGCAGCCGCCGUAAAAC
rnacentral:rRNA from 1 species